rnacentral:lncRNA from 1 species
UGUUGAGCUUGUACGUUGUCGCAGUUGCUAAGUGUCAAAGUCAGAUGUCCAAAUACUUUGCCAAAUACUUAGAGUACCAAAUGCAUUAUGUAUAAUCUAAAAACACAUAUAUCUACAGAAAAGAGAAAAAGUCUUUUUAAAGUCUAUGUUUUUGGGGACUGUCGUUCGGGUCGGAAUGCAGCGCGGGAGAAGAAAUAUUAUUCAAUCCACGGCUUCACUGCUGGUUAGCCUGUGAGAAGUCCGCUUCUCGACACCUAAAGACAUCCGUAUUUUCCUGGCUAAUUAUUUCCGCACUCUCCAAAAUGUCUAGGCUCUCUUACCACUUCAUUACAAAUCACUAAGUAUCGACAUUGUGCCUGUAUGAAAAAGGUAUUAGACGAAGCUGCGCACAAAUGGUAAUAUUGUUUAUUACAUCGAGAUUUCAGAGAGUCAAUAGCGUAUCUUCAAGAUAAUUGCUAUAGGUAGAUGUCCUCGAAAGACGAAAGCCACAAUUGGUGUUGAUCUUCGCGAAAGGAUUGUCGAGGUGGAUGACGAGUGUAUCACGAUUGAUGAGAACAAGCAUAUGGCAACUAAAUAAAUGUCUGCUCCCCCAGCUGCAGUUAUGGGGACACGGCUGGACAAGAACGAUUCCGAAGAAGUAUGUUCAACGUUACUACCGGUGGCAGUGAGCACAAACGCGGUCUAGCGCUUUGCCGAUCAACACAGCAUGCCACUAUUUGAAGCCUCUGCAAAGGAUGACCCUCAGAGCGAUCAUCUGGAAAGUUUCAUGACCCUUGUACACAAGCUUAAGAACUCAAAACCCAUGAUGUCCAUUCAGAAUUCAGGCACAGAGGUUCCCGGUGAAGUUCAACCUAAAUCGACGAAAGAUGGAGCACAAAUGGUUACUUUCCAGCUGCUACGCUUCUUUCCCGCAGUCAAGCAGGACAAUCCGAUAUAAUAACAUAUCCGAUAUCCGGAUCUUCGCGUGUGAAAUUUACUAGUCUUCCCUGCAGUAGUUAAAAUUUCUACAUAUAUCAUUGACACCCGAUCAUGAUUCUCUGUUCCGAAAAAGCAACGUAGUAUAGCACUGAAAACAGUGUGUGGCAACGAUAGGACCAAUGAACAUUGUAUACUAACUUCGUCAAUGUAAUGCAAAUUGCCUUUACGGCCCUGGUUUCUUUACAAUUACAAUAAAACUAUUUUUAUAGUUUUCAUCUGCACCGUUCAAACGAA